UUGGUGAUACAAUACUACAGUGUGAAGGAAUACCCAAUGGUAUGCCAGAUGUUGACUUAAAUAAUGACUUGGAUGACAACAUCUUAACAUACGUACGAGCAGAUUGUGAAGGCACAUGGAUACCUACAUAAUAUUAUAAGCCUUUGAUUCAUACAUCACAUGGACAACUUUAGUGAUGAAGAAGCUGGUGUUGAUGAGUUGAAACCAACAUUUGGAAUUGAGGAUGAUGAACAUCUUGGUACUGAAAAUGAAACCCCAAAGCAGAUAUGUAGACCACGAGGACCAACUAUUAUGUUCGAUGUCACUCGCAUUAGAAGUUUGGGAGAGAAGAAGGUGGUGAUG